AUUUUUAUUAUUAGCGACGGUAAAUCUUUACUGUAGUAAGAUUAGUUAUUAAUUGUGACGCAUUUUCAUGUCGCCGUCGCAAACAUAUACAUAUCUAUUGUAUUAAAAAACCACCUCCCUAUCACUCCUCUUCCUCACUUAACCACCACUCCCUUCCCAAACCUCAACUGUCGAUCACACCCUCCUCUCACAGAUCCAUGCCCAAGCUCAACCUCCACUGCGCUGCCACCGAGCCCAAGGAGGCCAAGCUCCAGGGCUGCCGCUUCGAGGAGGGCAUCACCGACGCCAUCGAGCGCUUCACCGACGUCGUCGAGCCCUUCACCGAGUCCAUCUCCUUCGACAAAGCCCUCUACAAGCAUGACAUCAUAGGCAGCAAGGCCCACGCCUCAAUGCUCCCCAAACAGGUUUUUGAUGGUCUGUUUGGUGACAAAGAAUGAGGGUUUAAUUGUUCCUAGCUACACAUGCACAUUUGCAAAGGGCUCAACCUGUUUUGCUUCAGCAUUUGCUCUUGGCUUUCGUUGAGCAGGUACCAUUAUUGACAACAGAAUUUGUUAUCCAAAGAAUAAUGAUUUUUAACUAUGUGUGCAGGCCGGAAUGAUAUAUAGUGAGUAUCAAAUAUUGUGCUUUUGUUUAUGGCUCUAUGUUUUUUUUAUCACAGUUCUCUCUCCUUAUAUUAAUCAUAAAUAUUUAUAUACAAUUAUGAUAUAGCUUGUAGCUAGAUGUAGUUGGUGUAUCCUAGCCAAGUAUGCACCAAGUUUACAGUUGUGAUUGAUGCUCUCAAAAGUGAUUGGUUGAUUCUCAUAUCUCUGUAUGCCUGAGACUGACUACUUAUUUUUGUUAGGAUAUUAGAGUCCUUAUAGGUAUUGUUGCACAAGAUAUCUUUUCACUGUCAUACACCAUCGUUGCUCCUAAAUAGUAGAUACAAAACAUGAUGGUGAGUUUGGUUUAUUGCAGCUUCGUGUUUUAUAUAGCAUCAGUUUUGUAUUACCUUAUAGACAGAGGACUAUCUAUUACUAUUUCCAGUCUUCAAAAUAAAGUGUAAUAUGUGAAUGAUGAAGUGGUCAAAAAUAGCAAAGGUUAUAUUUAAGUGAUAUGUAAAGUUCUGGCAAAAUAGUACCCAAAACACACUAUUUCCAAUUGUUACUUUCACUAAAAAAUAUGUAGUUAAGGAAAGAGGCAGAAAGUGCAUUGAAUCUGACAACAA